rnacentral:tRNA from 1 species
GCCUGGGUGGCUUAGUUGGUUAAGCGUCUGACUUCAGCUCAGGUCAUGAUCUCACAGUCCGUGAGUUCGAGCCCCACGUCAGGCU